UUUCUGCCUUUAAUAUUUGCACCUGUUCCUAUGUUUAAAAAAAACAAAAAAUGUAAUAUAAGAACUUUGAAAAAAAAACAAUUUUGUUCGAUAUGUCAAAGAACUUUUGCCAGCAUCCAAAUUUAUUUUAAUGAAAUGUUGUGAUCCUCAUCCUUAACCUCACACUUGACUACUUACACUCUAAAAUUUAUAAUUGUAAAAAGAUCAUCAACUACAUUUAACUCAAAAACUCUUACAAAAAGUAAUUGUUCGAUCAUA
rnacentral:lncRNA from 1 species